CGCCCGCUGGCGGCGUGCUUAACACAUGCAAGUCGAACGGAAAGGCCCUGCUUUUGUGGGGUGCUCGAGUGGCGAACGGGUGAGUAACACGUGAGUAACCUGCCCUUGACUUUGGGAUAACUUCAGGAAACUGGGGCUAAUACCGGAUAGGAGCUCCUGCUGCAUGGUGGGGGUUGGAAAGUUUCGGCGGUUGGGGAUGGACUCGCGGCUUAUCAGCUUGUUGGUGGGGUAGUGGCUUACCAAGGCUUUGACGGGUAGCCGGCCUGAGAGGGUGACCGGCCACAUUGGGACUGAGAUACGGCCCAGACUCCUACGGGAGGCAGCAGUGGGGAAUAUUGCACAAUGGGCGGAAGCCUGAUGCAGCAACGCCGCGUGCGGGAUGACGGCCUUCGGGUUGUAAACCGCUUUCGCCUGUGACGAAGCGUGAGUGACGGUAAUGGGUAAAGAAGCACCGGCUAACUACGUG
rnacentral:rRNA from 1 species